GUGCCUUCGGGAACUGUGAGACAGGUGCUGCAUGGCUGUCGUCAGCUCGUGUUGUGAAAUGUUGGGUUAAGUCCCGCAACGAGCGCAACCCUUAUCCUUUGUUGCCAGCGAUUAGGUCGGGAACUCAAAGGAGACUGCCAGUGAUAAACUGGAGGAAGGUGGGGAUGACGUCAAGUCAUCAUGGCCCUUACGACCAGGGCUACACACGUGCUACAAUGGCGCAUACAAAGAGAAGCGACCUCGCGAGAGCAAGCGGACCUCAUAAAGUGCGUCGUAGUCCGGAUUGGAGUCUGCAACUCGACUCCAUGAAGUCGGAAUCGCUAGUAAUCGUGGAUCAGAAUGCCACGGUGAAUACGUUCCCGGGCCUUGUACACACCGCCCGUCACACCAUGGGAGUGGGUUGCAAAAGAAGUAGGUAGCUUAACCUUCGGGAGGGCGCUUACCACUUUGUGAUUCAUGACUGGGGUGAAGUCGUAACAAGGUAACCGUAGGGGAACCUGCGGUUGGAUCACCUCCUUACCUUAAAGAA
rnacentral:rRNA from 3 species